GAGGAUAUAGCUCAGUGGUAGAGCGCAUGCUUAGCAUGCACAAAGUUCUGGGUUUAAUUCCCAGUACCUCCA
rnacentral:tRNA from 1 species